rnacentral:rRNA from 1 species
UAGUCCUAGCCGUAAACGUUGUACACUAGGUGUGGGGGGAGUUGAUCCCCUCCGCGUCCAAGCUAACGCGAUAAGUGUACCGCCUGGGGAGUACGACGGCAACGUUAAAACUCAAAGGAAUUGACGGGGGCCCGUACAAGCGGUGGAGCAUGUGGCUUAAUUCGAGGCAACGCGAAGAACCUUACCUGGGUUCGACAUAUAGUGGACCGGAUGUGAAAGCAUCCUUCCCUUCGGGGCUGCUAUACAGAUGCUGCAUGGCUGUCGUCAGCUCGUGUCGUGAGAUGUUCGGUUAAGUCCGGCAACGAGCGCAACCCGUGUCGUCAGUUGCCAUAUGGAACUCUAAAAAGACUGCCGGUUAUAAACCGGAGGAAGGCGGGGAUGACGUCAAGUCAGCAUGCCCCUCACACCCUGGGCUACACACGUGCUACAAUGGGCGAGACAAUGAGAUGCAACUCUGCGAAGAUUAGCUAAUCUAAAAACUCGUUCUAAGUUCGGAUUGUAGG